ACAGAGGGAGGAAGAAGAGGUGAUGAAGGAAACAGAGGGAGGAAGGAGAGGUGAUGAUGGAAACAGGGAGGAGGGAGAGGUGAUGAAGGAAAUGGAGGAGGGAGAGGUGAUGAAGGAAAUGGAGGAGGGAGAGGUGAUGAUGGAAACAGGGAGGAGGGAGAGGUGAUGAAGGAAAUGGAGGAGGGAGAGGUGAUGAAGGAAACAGGGAGGAGGGAGAGGUGAUGAAGGAAAUGGAGGAGGGAGAGGUGAUGAAGGAAACAGGGAGGAGGGAGAGGUGAUGAAGGAAAUGGAGGAGGGAGAGGUGAUGAUGGAAACAGGGAGGAGGGAGAGGUGAUGAUGGAAACAGGGAGGAGGGAGAGGUGAUGAAGGAAAUGGAGGAGGGAGAGGUGAUAAUGGAAACAGGGAGGAGGGAGAGGUGAUGAAGGAAACAGGGAGGAGGGAGAGGUGAUGAUGGAAACAGGGAGGAGGGAGACGUGAUGAUGGAAACAGGGAGGAAGGAGAGGUGAUAAAGGAAACGGAGGAGGGAGAGUUGAUGAUGGAAACAGGGAGAAAGGAGAAGUGAUGAAGGAAACGGAGGAAGGAGAGGUGCUGACGGAAACAGAGGGUGAAAUGGUGCGGCUGCAAGCCAAGGCAUAUGGGCAGCUGCUAGGAGGUUGAAAAGGCAAGGA
rnacentral:lncRNA from 1 species